ACAAUGCGGGACUGUUAGUCUUGCAAUUGGAUUGAGAACAACGUACAACUCUUAUCGAUAAGCCAUUGGAGGGCAAGUCUGGUGCCAGCAGCCGCGGUAAUUCCAGCUCCAAUAGCGUAUAUUAACGUUGUUGCAGUUAAAAAGCUCGUAGUUGAAGUGAGGGAGUGUGUAGUAGGACCGACUUGAUCGGAACUGCUGCAACCUCCCCCCUCCAAUCGGUGUAGUGGGGUAUUCAGUUAUUUCACUACUCCUUUGGUCGUUUACUGUGAGAAAAUUAGAGUGUUCAAAGCGGGCGUUUGUUUGAAUAGAUUAGCAUGGAAUAAUGAUUGAAGGCUUUCGUGUUCGAUUUGAUUGGUUUGUUCAUGGAAGCAAGGUUAAAAGGAACAGUUGGGGGUAUUCAUAUUCACUAGUUAGAG
rnacentral:rRNA from 1 species